GGGGCUGUAGCUCAGCUGGCUAGANNAGCGGUUGGUUCGCAAUCAACAGGCCGUGGGUUCGACUCCCAUCAGCUCCA
rnacentral:tRNA from 1 species